GUAGGUGGCAAGCGUUGUCCGGAAUUAUUGGGCGUAAAGCGCGCGCAGGCGGUUCUUUAAGUCUGAUGUGAAAGCCCACGGCUCAACCGUGGAGGGUCAUUGGAAACUGGAGAACUUGAGUACAGAAGAGGAAAGCGGAAUUCCACGUGUGGCGGUGAAAUGCGUAGAGAUGUGGAGGAACACCAGUGGCGAAGGCGGCUUUCUGGUCUGUAACUGACGCUGAGGCGCGAAAGCGUGGGGAGCAAACAGGAUUAGAUACCCUGGUAGUCCACGCCGUAAACGAUGAGUGCUAAGUGUUAGGGGGGUUUCCGCCCCCCUUAGUGCUGCAGCUAACGCAUUAAGCACUCCGCCUGGGAGUACGGCCGCAAGGCUG
rnacentral:rRNA from 1 species